AACGUAGGACGCAAACGUUAUCCGGAAUUACUGGGCGUAAAGGGCGCGCAGGCGGCGCGGUAAGUGAGGCAUGAAAGCUCCCUGGCUAAACCGGGAGAGGUUGUCUGAGACUGCCGUGCUUGAGUGAGGUAGAGGGAUGUGGAAUUCCGCGUGUAGUGGUGAAAUGCGUAGAGAUGCGGAGGAACACCAGUGGCGAAGGCGGCAUCCUGGAUCUCAACUGACGCUGAGGCGCGAAAGCAUGGGUAGCGAACGGG
rnacentral:rRNA from 1 species